UGAGGUGGUAGUUUCUA
rnacentral:miRNA from 1 species